CUGAAUACAACAGGUCUAGUAGACCUUACAGUGAAAUGCUGAAUACAACAGGUGUAGUAGACCUCACAGUGAAAUGCUGAAUACAACAGGUCUAGUAGACCUUACAGUGAAAUGCUGAAUACAACAGGUGUAGUAGACCUCACAGUGAAAUGCUACGGUACAGAGUCAAUGUGGAGGCUAUAUACAGGGUAUUAAGGUACAGAGUCAAUGUGGAGGCUAUAUACAGGGGGUUACGGUACAGAGUCAAUGUGGAGGCUAUAUACAGGGGGUACCAGUACAGAGUCAAUGUGGAGGCUAUAUACAGGGGGUACCGGUACAGAGUCAAUAUGGAGGCUAUAUACAGGGGG
ensembl:lncRNA